AUGGACUAUUCCCCUGACGUCACGAAAGUAACCUGGAAGAAAGGUGGGGAGCUAAUCACGACUGGAUUGAAGACUUACCCAUCAGUGAAAAACAAGAAGGGAACCUACACCCUGAGCAGCCAGUUAACCCUGCCCGAGUCAGCGGUAGGUUGCCCCAGCAAAAUCUACUGUGAGGUUCAACACAGCGGGUCACACAAGAGCAAAGAAAUGCCAUGUCCAGUCUAUACCUGCCAGGUCACUCAUGGAGAGAACAUUCAAAAUAAAAACAUCACCGCACUCCAGGAAGAUACCGAGUGCCACAUCAACACCGUUAAAAUCCUCCCACCGCCAGUAGAACAAGUCUUACUGGAGGCGACGGUGACGUUAACCUGCGUUGUGUCCAAUCUUCCUUCUGGAGUCAACGUGACCUGGAAACAAGAAAAGAAGCCUCUGAAAUCAGAGAUUGCUGAGCAGCCUGGACAGAAUCCCGACAGCGUGAUCAGCAAAUUAGACAUUUCUACUGAAGCCUGGCUGAGUGGUGUUACUUUUGAAUGUGUGGUGUACCAUCAGAGUCUACCGACUCCGCUGAGAGACUCCAUCCACAAGGAGAAAGUGAUUAAUCCGCUGGAGCCAUCAGUGUCGGUCCUCCUGCCACCAACAGAAGAAAUCUCCGCUCAGAGGUUUCUCUCCCUCACCUGUUUAGUGAGAGGUUUCUCCCCCCGAGAGAUCUUCAUCAAGUGGACAAACAAUGACAAGCCGGUGAAUCCCAGUAACUACAAGAACACCGAGGUGAUAGCGGAGAGCGACAACACUUCCUUCUUCAUCUACAGCCUGUUAUCCAUUACAGCGGAGGAGUGGGCCAGCGGUGCUUCUUACUCCUGUGUGAUGGGACAUGAAGCGAUUCCAUUGAAAAUCAUCAACAGAACAGUCGAUAAAUCCAGCGGUAAACCGAGUUUUGUAAACAUUUCACUUGCACUGAUGGACACAGUUAAUUCAUGUCAAUAAAAAUCUCAAAGUUAC